CCAUGUGGUUCUCUGAAUGAACUAUAACAUCAAGAGAGUUUCAGUCAAAAGUUGUUUUCCAUUUGGUUAGCACAGAGAAAGAAAAAAAACUUUGAAUGUGUCAUUAAGUUUUUGUUUAUGAAGGUAGUUUUAAAGCAGAUUAUUUGUUUGUUCUCUAUACAACUUCCAAAGUCAGAUAUAAUUUCUUCCUCUUAUAUGCCCGAGGAAGGAUGUUAGGAAUGAGGAGAGUUUCCAAGGCUCAGAUUCCAGGAUGACAUUGCUGGCGUGCUCCACACAGGACAAGACUAAUUCCAUGAUAUUUGCCUCUCUUGAAUAAAUGGUGACUCAUCUCUGAACCUCAAAUUUCAGUCUCAGCUACCUAGGAAUCAGCAACAAUCAGAGAAAAGGGAUGUAGGGCAGUUACAGUAAAAACAAACAUAAGAACAGAAAAUCAAAGGGCAGCAAAAAAACAACACUGCCAAAUAAAACCUCCCCUCCCCUGCCCUUCCUUCCUUUUCUUUCCCUUUCUCCUUCUUAGGGGAAAGAAGCAGUGGGGAAAAGAAAAAAGAAAAAGAAAGAAAGAAAGAAAGAAAGAAAGAAAGAAAGAAAGAAAGAAAGAAAGGAAGAAGAAAGAAAGAAAGGAAGAAAGGAAGAAAGGAAGAAAGGAAGAAAGGAAGAAAGGAAGAAAGGAAGAAAGAAAGAAAGAAAGAAUUAAAAAAAAGAAAGAAAAUAAAAAAAAAACACUUUCUUUCCAGAAGUCUUUAAACCAUUGCAGCUGCCUUCUGCAGUGGAGUGGGAGAUUGCUGUGCAAGAGAGGACUCCAAAAACCAAGGAUAAAACAGUUCUCAAGAGAACAGAUCAUCUGACAAAGAGGAGCCUACUAACAAGGCCUUCUUGCUUCAGCAUCAAGAGGCAUCGUGCUCACAGACUUUCAUCUUGAUGGGAGAUUUCAACCGCAUGGAUGUAAGCUGGGAAAACAACAUGGAAGGUUGAAAAUAUUCCAAGAGACUGCUGAAGAUAACUACCUGGUCCAGGUAUUGGACAGAUCAACUAGAGGUGAAGCAUUGCUGGACCUGGUGCCCAGCAAUGCAGAGAAAAUAAUUGGAGAUGUUAAAGUUGGAGACAGUCUGGACUGUAGAGACCACGUCCUGGUUGAGUUCAUGAUCUCAAGAAACACAGGCCUAGCAAAGAAUUGAGUCAGGACCCUGAACUUCAGAAGAAGGAACUAUUGGCAGUUUAAGAAUUAUUGGAGAAGAUUCCUCUGAGAGACUGUUCUUAAGGACAUAGGAAAAAAUGUACCUGGUAGCUCUAUAAGGAUAUAUUUCUGAGACCUUUUCAACCCCCAGCAUAAUAAAUCAAAUACAGGAGGCGGGAAAUCAGCAAGGCUGAGCAAGAAUUGAUUGGUCAAAUCAAGGGACAAGAUGGAAAAGUGCAGAUGGUGGAAGCAGGGACAUAUGGCCUGGGAAGAAGGGAUGCCAUCCGGACAUGCAGGGAUGAGAUCAGAAAAGCCAAGAUGCAGGUGGAGCUGAACUUGAUGAGGGAUGUGAAAAAUAACAAGUCUUUCUUUAGGUAUACCGGUCCGAAGAGACAAGCAAACUGGCUUCAACAGACACGGAGAAGGAUGACGUACUGAAGAAGUUCUUUUCCUUGAUCUUCUCUGCUAGUUAGGCUUAUCAUGUCUCUUAUGUCCCUGAAACUCAAGCUCUCCUCCCUGCUGCUCGACCUGACUGCACAUCUCGCCUCAGCGUUGUGCAUUCUAUUCACCUACUGAGAGGCUGCACAGAAACCAGUGACACCAGCUUUUCAGCUACUAGGAUAUCCCAGAGGACAGAACAUUAAAGCAAGCAAAAAUGAAGAACUGAUCUGAGAAAAUCUUGAG
ensembl:lncRNA